UUUCCGUAGGUGAACCUGCGGAAGGAUCAUUAACGUAUCUCUGGCGUGCCGCGUCGCGCCCUGCUCCGGCUCCGAAAGGGCCGUGCAGCGGGCACCCGCGCCGUCAAACCUUCACAAACCCACUGUGCACGUUUGCGGCGGAGGGCUCCCGCGAGGGGGUUCGAAGCCGCUUCACAAACGCUGUUAACGAAUGUCAAAGCGUCCUCUGCGUCGCCUACCAAUUGAACAACUUUCAACAACGGAUCUCUUGGCUCUCGCAUCGAUGAAGAACGCAGC
rnacentral:misc_RNA from 1 species